rnacentral:RNase_P_RNA from 1 species
UGGGUUGGCCGGACGAUCGCGCGGUUCCUUCGGGAGCCUCGAGGAAGGUCCGGGCUCCACAGGGCAGGGUGGUGGGUAACACCCACCCGAGGUGACUCGCGGGACAGUGCCACAGAGAACAGACCGCCUCGCAUGAGGUAAGGGUGAAACGGUGGUGCAAGAGACCACCAGUGCGGCGGGUGACCGUCGCAGCUCGGCAAACCCCACCUGGAGCAAGACCAGACAGUGAGCGUUCGAGGGCGGCCCGCCCGAGCUCACGGGUAGGUCGCUGGAGGAGGUCGGCAACGACCUUCGUAGAUGGAUGAUCGUCGAACGGGAGGCCGCAAGGCACCCGGGAACAGAACCCGGCCUAGAGGCCAGCCCGUCCG